rnacentral:rRNA from 1 species
CGUGAUGCGGACCGAAUUAAGAGAAGGGAAGUGUGUGAGCCAUGCGUCAAGAAAAGCCGCUAUUGUUUUACUUAAGCCCGUACCGUAAACCGACACAGGUGGAUGAGGAGAGAAUCCUAAGGCCGACGGGAGAAGCAUUGUUAAGGAACUCGGCAAAAUGACUCCGUAACUUCGGGAGAAGGAGUGCCAGCGAGAGCUGGCCGCAGAGAAUUGGCCCAAGCAACUGUUUAGCAAAAACACAGGUCUAUGCAAAACCGUAAGGUGAAGUAUAUGGGCUGACGCCUGCCCGGUGCUGGAAGGUUAAGAGGAGAGGUUAGCGGUAACGCGAAGCUUUGAAUUUAAGCCCCAGUAAACGGCGGCCGUAACGAUAACGGUCCUAAGGUAGCGAAAUUCCUUGUCGGGUAAGUUCCGACCCGCACGAAAGGCGUAAUGAUUUGGGCACUGUCUCAACAAUGCACCCGGUGAAAUUGAAAUACCAGUGAAGAUGCUGGUUACCUGCGCCAGGACGGAAAGACCCCAUGGAGCUUUACUCCAGCUUGAUACUGGGAUUCGGUAUUGCAUGUACAGGAUAGGUGGGAGGCUAGGAAGUGAUAACGCCAGUUGUCACGGAGCCGCUGUUGGGAUACCACCCUUGCAGUAUUGGAUUUCUAACCAGCGACCAUGAACUGGUCGGGGGACAAUGUCAGGUGGGGAGUUUGACUGGGGCGGUCGCCUCCGAAAGGGUAUCGGAGGCGCUCAAAGGUUCCCUCAGAAUGGACGGAAACCAUUCGAAGAGUGCAAAGGCAGAAGGGAGCUUGACUGCGACACCGACGGGUGGAGCAGGUACGAAAGUAGGACUUAGUGAUCCGGUGGUAUAAAGUGGGAUUGCCAUCGCUCAACGGAUAAAAGCUACCCUGGGAUAACAGGCUUAUCACUCCCAAGAGUUCACAUCGACGGAGUGGUUUGGCACCUCGAUGUCGGCUCAUCGCAUCCUGGGGCUGAAGUAGGUCCCAAGGGUUGGGCUGUUCGCCCAUUAAAGCGGUACGCGAGCUGGGUUCAGAACGUCGUGAGACAGUUCGGUCCCUAUCCGGCGUGGGCGUAGGAUAUUUGAGAGGAGCUGUCCUUAGUACGAGAGGACCGGGAUGGACUGGCCGCUGGUGUAUCUGUUGCAUACCAAAUGCAUGGCAGAGUAGCCAAGCCGGGACGGGAUAAACGCUGAAGGCAUCUAAGCGUGAAGCCCCCCUCAAGAUGAGAUAUCCCUACGUAAGUAGUAAGACCCCUUGAAGACGACGAGGUAGAUAGGUCAGAGGUGGAAGUACAGUAAUGUAUGGAGCUGACUGAUACUAAUCGGUCGAGGGCAUGACC